AAAUGGAUCUUGCUGGUCGUGUGGCCAGCCAGGCUCCCUUGUGAAUGGGCAUCGCCUGUGGGUGGUGAGCAAGCCAGAGAUGACUCUCGUCUUGUACCCCUCCCUUGUGGAGCUGAAGCUAAGCCCUGUGAGGACCUGGACACUUGCUCCACUGCAGUGAGCAGCAAAAGGCCUUCAUCCCACCCGGAGGCUCUGAUCUACCUGCAGCCAUGAUACGGAUCUCUUCCUGGACAGGUGUUUGCAGGCACUUGGGCGCUUCCCAUAUCAGACACAAGACAGCAGCUCCAGAUCAAACUUCCGGUUCUAGCGGGCUUUGAGAUGCCUAAAGUUGACAUCACGAGCCUUGUUCACCUCCUCAGCCCUCAGAGUUCCCAGAAUCCCAUGGUUUUCCCUGUCUACAUCCAGGUUAGUGAGGGAUACUGAACGCUGCUCUGGCGUCUGCACCUGAAUUGAUCUAGUGCCUUCUCCUGAUUCCCUAGGACCAAACUCUGCCUCCAUCUCCAUCUCUAAUCCGAGAUGCCUCUUCCCUCAGUGCCACACUCCCUCCCCACCAGGAUCUCAGGAACCAGAAGCUGCAGGCUCUGCUUCUCCCUCACUACCUUUGGACCAGCCCCCUUUAGAGAUGAAGGCAGGACCCAGCCCAUUGCGCCAAAGCUCAUUUCCACACCUACUCAAGAUGCUCCUCUGGUGAUUUAGGAAGACAGCACCAUGAACCCCACUUCUCCUCUGGUCCCUUUUCUCCUCAGCCUUCUUCCCUCCCCCAGUCCAUUCUCUAAACCCUAACCCUCUGCAUCCCCUAAAAUCUGUCCCCAUUCCUAGCCCUACUGCUCUGGUCCAGGCCCCACUGUUCAUCUGGAUUCUUACGCAGAAGCCCAGCUGCCCUUAGUCUCCAGGCCACGCCCAACAGGACUGCCCAAAGGGCCAAGCUACGAAUUACAUUGGUCCAUGGCCCUCAGUGGCUUCCGGCUGCCUCUGACCAUUGUCCUCUUCCUUCCUAUGGCACUGAGGACAGAAGGACAGCUCUUGUCCCCAAACCCUGCUGCCCCCGUGCUCCUUUCCAAGACCCUUGCACCUUGCACCUGCUAUUAUUGACUCUGCCAGGAGUGGCCUUCCCUCCUGUCUCUCCAAUAUCCAUCCUUCAAGUCUCUGGCACAACUUCAUCUGAGAAGCUGCCUCUGUGGUUCCUCACUGUCCCAGCAGCAGGCUCCGUCGGGCGGCAGUGCAUAGACUGCCCACGUCUGCUCCCAUAGGGCCCAUCGUCACUCCCUCUAGAACAUGAGCUCCCGGAGAGAAGGACUCGAAUUGUGUGUCUUUGCUACUAACCAAAUUGUCUCCCUCUCACUUCCAGUUUCAAGGCUAACUCCCUGGGGAGCUGUGACCACACAGAAACUAUCCCCCUGGGGAUAUGGGGUCAGAUGAUGAUUCUAGGAUCAAGAGGAGGAGAAGGAAAACUGGGGAAGAGGGGUUCUCUUCUCAUGGAGAUUAAGGAGUGGUCUCUUUGAGUGGAUCCUGAAACAGACAGACACGGAUGGGCAAAUCUGAAAUCCAAAUGAAGUCUGCAUUUUGGCUAGGAGUGUUGUAGCAAUGUUAGUUUCUCCACUUUGACGAAAGGCUGUGGCUGGGUGAGAUGUUAGCUUUGGGGAAACUGGCUUAAAAGCUUGCAUAAAAUCUGUAUACUGCCUUUGC
rnacentral:lncRNA from 1 species